rnacentral:rRNA from 1 species
AAUAGAUACCCGGUAGUCCACGCCGUAAACGAUGAGUGCUAAGUGUUAGAGGGUUUCCGCCCUUUAGUGCUGCAGCUAACGCAUUAAGCACUCCGCCUGGGGAGUACGGUCGCAAGACUGAAACUCAAAGGAAUUGACGGGGGCCCGCACAAGCGGUGGAGCAUGUGGUUUAAUUCGAAGCAACGCGAAGAACCUUACCAGGUCUUGACAUCCUCUGACAACUCUAGAGAUAGAGCGUUCCCCUUCGGGGGACAGAGUGACAGGUGGUGCAUGGUUGUCGUCAGCUCGUGUCGUGAGAUGUUGGGUUAAGUCCCGCAACGAGCGCAACCCUUGAUCUUAGUUGCCAGCAUUUAGUUGGGCACUCUAAGGUGACUGCCGGUGACAAACCGGAGGAAGGUGGGGAUGACGUCAAAUCAUCAUGCCCCUUAUGACCUGGGCUACACACGUGCUACAAUGGAUGGUACAAAGGGCUGCAAGACCGCGAGGUCAAGCCAAUCCCAUAAAACCAUUCUCAGUUCGGA